AAUUCUCAACAUACAUACAGAUGCAUUUUUUCUCUUAUUUAAAAUAUAAAAUCCGUAUUAAUAACAGUUUUGGAAACGAAACGCGUCGAGUUUAUGGCUUAAUUUUGACCCAUUUGGCCUUCCAUAUUGUCAAUGUGUUUUUUGCGCUCUCAACGUGCUGACAACGCAUGCUUCCAGACAACAGUUUCACGUAUUUUGACCAGUUUGGCUGUCGAUUCUAUGAAACGCAAGGAAAGGAAGCAAGGACGGUUAAAAUAAGCGAUUGGAACGAGCCCAGUGUCUUUUGUUCCGAGUGCAGUGUGCUGCAGCGUUCCUUAUUUCGGGCUGGUCCCUGUGAAGUUGUCCGGUAUGAAGAGAGGAAGUGAUUCAAGUCAUCAUACACAUGACAUUAACCCACAAUACGCUGGCAUGUCCCAUCGAAGAAAAGUCCUCCCUGAAUUCUGGAGAGCACAGACGAGCACGGGUUCUCCUUCGAGGUGCAGGUAGACAGACGUUACUACUUUUCACUCAGCAUUCCACAACAGGAGCACUCCAGUCACCACAUCAGAUUAAUACGCUUCAAAUUCUCACAAUAAGACCGGGAAAUCCCAGCCGACUGAUACCUCUGUCAAAAUAUGACAUCGGACUGCAAAACUACAAAGACCAUCAUGCACUUUAACCAGGACAAGCCACUCAAUAGCCCCAUCCCUUGGAAAUAUUGUGCAGGAAACCGCACACUUGAAGUUUAAUUAAAAAGGACUUUCAUGAAAAAUAUUCAGCUACAGUUCACUGGCCAAUGAAGCGGAACAAGCACUUCUUACGGAAAAUAAAAAAGUAAAAGUUCUGAGCGCAGUGCUUCCGUUCGCCAAGUGGAUUUUCUCACCACAUCACCUCAAACAUACCCUACAAAGUGUGCCAAACCAGUUAAAUCAACUAACAGCGGUGUCAAAAGAAUAUUGACCCUUGCCCCAAAUUCACAUUUGGAUCAACAAGUGCAAAGUUGUUUUGCCGGCAGACUUGUUUAAAUAAGUACUACAUCUAACAUGAAGUAUACCCUAUGUUCUGACAUAGUAAUGUAUUACCAAGAGUAGAUUGGUAACUAACUGGAAUCCUUUUUAAGGCACAUGACAGAAGUAACUGAUCAAAGAUCACAUACUGGUUUAAAUAUAAAGACUAUUUUCCCAUACAGGCACAGCAAAGCAACUUUCCUAACACUUAACAAUUAGCAUGGGUGCAGGGCUUUUUCUUUAAAAAAGGAGCUAUUAAAAGGCUUCUUCCAAUGCAAGACAUCUACUGACAUCCUCUUGACACAUGUCCACGUGACUAGAUCCACGGUUAGGGUAAACUAUACCUAGUGGCAGCACUAUGGGAGGGCUACCCGGGGCUAUAGCCUUGACAUAAAUCUGCGUGGCACUGGCACAGACCCGCAAUUUAAUAAAUUUAAUAACAAUAGAUUAUCAGUAACUCCAUGUAUUAGCCUAGCUCCCCCUUAGCGCUUCCAGGGAAGAAUUCCUGGUUCCUCCACUGACUCAGUGUUUUCCAUACAGUGAAUUUAUUUGGGCGGCCCGCCCAGAUAGAUUUGCCCCCAUCCAAAAAGAUUUUUUGGUACAUUUCUAUAAGCAACACACUAUACAUUUGUAUUUGUUCUUUUAAAUGUCAAAGUGACAUACAACCGUCUCUCUCGUUUCGCUGCGUGAGCUGGCCCUUCCCCCUCCCUCUUGUAGCCAGUGGAUGUAGAGCAGAUAGGGGAGGACAGUACCUGAACACGAACAUCACUAGAAGGGCAGUCGUGCAACCUUAUCUGUGCCAGAUACCAAAAUAUUUUACGUUUUUCAAAAUCGAUAAAAUGUUAUUGUUGUUAUGCAUUGUUUCUUUAAAAGAAUAUGUCCUCUGCCCUAACUAAGUCUGCAAAUUAUCAACAUUAUUUGGAUUAAUGUCAGUGUUCACCUAGUUAAAAUUAGCUUAUGAAAACACAAACUUUUCACUUUUGACAGAGAUGAGUAUAAAAAAAAUUCUUCUUUAAAAAAAGGAGAAACUGCACCACAGAGAGGUUGCAUAACAUUACUGUUAGAGUAAUAGUUUCAGUUAACAGUUAGGCCUACUUUAAUUGAAAUUGAUGAAAAUCAUUGUGUUUAAAAAUGAGGGCAUUUUGGAUAUCAGCCACCAAUUACUUUAAAGUUACUUAACUUCUGUUUAGAAUUUGUUUGUGAUUAUUUUAUCCUCCAUAUCAUUCUGAUAGCAUAAGGGUUUGCCGGUAACUGAGAACAUUACUGCAAAUUGUUUAAGUUUGGAUUGAUUUUGCAUUCUGUUCAUUCACUGUGUCACCGGAGCAACUUGACGCGAAAAGUGUCGUACAGACUUGUUGUAAAUUCUUAACCUUUGGGAAACACUGCUGACUAGACCCCAGGAUGAACUAAGUCAUCAACAUUUCAGAACACCCAGCAUCCAGCAUGAAAUUAGAAUAAAGGGCUACCUCACAUUUGCUGUACCAUGAGAGACAGAGAGAGACAGACAGAGAGAGAGAGAGAGAGACAGAGAGACCCUACGGGCUCACCAUCCGGCUCAUCCUUGAUCUUGCAGUUGUCCUUCAGUGUCUGUAAGUCUCCAAACAGGCUCUCCAGGAUAGCGCUCGCGAUGGGCAGCAUCAUGGCAGUAGUGGCCGUGUUGCUGAGCCACAUGGACAGGAAGGAGGAUGUGAGCAUCAUGCCCAAUAUGAGCCUGGCGGGAGAGCAAGGGCAACGCAGUCAGUGGGUGUCAUGGUUCUGUUUUACUGUUUCUGUUUUUCCUUGUUGGGCCGCCAGAUGGCGGCACUUCUUUUUUGUGUCCUGCUCGUUCCCCUGUUAAUUGUAUUAUUGUUUUCCAUUAUUGUCUCGUUAUUCUAUCAUUGUUCCCACCUGUGUCUUGUUAUCCCCUCCUUUUCUGGUUUGAUUGUUUUUUGAGUUCACCUGUGUCUUGUUACCCCGUCUAUUUAAGUUCUUUGUCCCCUUGACUCGGGUGCUGGUUCCUUGUGUUUAUUUUCUACUUGUGUUUGUUUCUGACCAUAUGUACCUGCCCUUGUACUCUGCCUGCCUGUGUUCUGCCCUGCCCAUGUUUUUGCCCAUCGUGGCCUUUCCUGUUCCCCAUUUGUGUUUGCCCUUUUGUUAGUAAAGUCUGUUAAUUUU